CAGGCUUAACACAUGCAAGUCGAGGGGCAGCAUGGUCUUAGCUUGCUAAGGCCGAUGGCGACCGGCGCACGGGUGAGUAACACGUAUCCAACCUGCCGUCUACUCUUGGACAGCCUUCUGAAAGGAAGAUUAAUACAAGAUGGCAUCAUGAGUCCGCAUGUUCACAUGAUUAAAGGUAUUCCGGUAGACGAUGGGGAUGCGUUCCAUUAGAUAGUAGGCGGGGUAACGGCCCACCUAGUCUUCGAUGGAUAGGGGUUCUGAGAGGAAGGUCCCCCACAUUGGAACUGAGACACGGUCCAAACUCCUACGGGAGGCAGCAGUGAGGAAUAUUGGUCAAUGGGCGCAGGCCUGAACCAGCCAAGUAGCGUGAAGGAUGACUGCCCUAUGGGUUGUAAACUUCUUUUAUAAAGGAAUAAAGUCGGGUAUGGAUACCCGUUUGCAUGUACUUUAUGAAUAAGGAUCGGCUAACUCCGUGCCAGCAGCCGCGGUAAUACGGAGGAUCCGAGCGUUAUCCGGAUUUAUUGGGUUUAAAGGGAGCGUAGAUGGAUGUUUAAGUCAGUUGUGAAAGUUUGCGGCUCAACCGUAAAAUUGCAGUUGAUACUGGAUAUCUUGAGUGCAGUUGAGGCAGGCGGAAUUCGUGGUGUAGCGGUGAAAUGCUUAGAUAUCACGAAGAACUCCGAUUGCGAAGGCAGCCUGCUAAGCUGCAACUGACAUUGAGGCUCGAAAGUGUGGGUAUCAAACAGGAUUAGAUACCCUGGUAGUCCACACGGUAAACGAUGAAUACUCGCUGUUUGCGAUAUACGGCAAGCGGCCAAGCGAAAGCGUUAAGUAUUCCACCUGGGGAGUACGCCGGCAACGGUGAAACUCAAAGGAAUUGACGGGGGCCCGCACAAGCGGAGGAACAUGUGGUUUAAUUCGAUGAUACGCGAGGAACCUUACCCGGGCUUAAAUUGCAGAUGAAUUACGGUGAAAGCCGUAAGCCGCAAGGCAUCUGUGAAGGUGCUGCAUGGUUGUCGUCAGCUCGUGCCGUGAGGUGUCGGCUUAAGUGCCAUAACGAGCGCAACCCUUGUUGUCAGUUACUAACAGGUUCCGCUGAGGACUCUGACAAGACUGCCAUCGUAAGAUGUGAGGAAGGUGGGGAUGACGUCAAAUCAGCACGGCCCUUACGUCCGGGGCUACACACGUGUUACAAUGGGGGGUACAGAGGACCGCUACCACGCGAGUGGAUGCCAAUCCCAAAAACCUCUCUCAGUUCGGACUGGAGUCUGCAACCCGACUCCACGAAGCUGGAUUCGCUAGUAAUCGCGCAUCAGCCACGGCGCGGUGAAUACGUUCCCGGGCCUUGUACACACCGCCCGUCAAGCCAUGGGAGCCGGGGGUACCUGAAGUGCGUAACCGCGAGGAGCGCCCUAGGGUAAAACUGGUGACUGGGGC
rnacentral:rRNA from 1 species